rnacentral:lncRNA from 1 species
CCAUCCGUCAAGCUUGUAAAGCGCGGCGGAGAGGGAAGGUGACCAAUUGGUGGUGGUGGUGGUUGGAGGCGGUGCUGGAGGUACGCCGGAAAAGGCGACCGGCGACGGAAAGAAGGAGGUGUUAUCCCCCGGGUUGGAAGCGUAGCCAGGAGGCGCAAGGGCAGAAUCUACGCAACAAGCCAGGGAAGACAUCCUUCUAUUCCGUGCGCUGCGAUCUGAAAAAGUUAGGUUAAGGUAAGGUUUUCUAUUUUCUUAAUUUAAGUGUCGGUUAGAAAUGAAUGGUUUUGUUCUCUUGAGUUUGUAAAGAUGGGGGCUUUAAAACCCGCCGAGGCCGAGGCCCCGGCUAC